UACAGAGGUCUCAAGCGUUGUUCGGAUUCAUUGGGCGUAAAGGGUGCGUAGGCGGCGCGGUAAGUCGGGUGUGAAAUCUCGGAGCUUAACUCCGAAACUGCAUUCGAUACUGCCGUGCUUGAGUAUGGGAGAGGUGAGUGGAAUUUCCGGUGUAGCGGUGAAAUGCGUAGAGAUCGGGAGGAACAUCAGUGGCGAAGGCGGCCAUCUGGGACAACACUGACGCUGAGGCACGAAAGCGUGGGGAGCAAACAGG
rnacentral:rRNA from 1 species